ACGCUCGACACCUACGGGAGGCUGCAGUGGGGAAUAUUGCACAAUGGGGGAAACCCUGAUGCAGCGACGCCGCGUGAGUGAAGAAGUAUUUCGGUAUGUAAAGCUCUAUCAGCAGGGAAGAAGAUGACGGUACCUGAGUAAGAAGCCCCGGCUAACUACGUGCCAGCAGCCACGGUAAUCUGAGCGGGCUGGCAAGGC
rnacentral:rRNA from 1 species